UAAAAACAUGGCCUUUUGAAGUAUAAUUUAAGGUCGGACCUGCUCUAUGACUAAGCGUUAAAUGGCUGCGGUAUUUUAACCGUACAAAGGUAGCAUAAUCAUUAGCUUUUUAAUUGAGAGCUGGAAUGAAGGGUUUGAUGAGAAAAAAGCUGUCUCUGUUAAAAUUUAUUAGAAUUUUAUUUUUAAGUAAAAAAGCUUAAAUAUAUUUUGAAGACGAGAAGACCCUAUAGAGUUUAAUAUUUUUUUUUAUAUUAAUAUUUUAGUAUUGUAGAGUUUUUAUAGAAAUUUUUAUUUAAUUGGGGUGAUUGAAAAAUUAAAUUAACUUUUUUUGUAUUAAAUCAUUAAUUUAUGAAUAAAUGAUCCUUUUUUUAAGAUUAUAAGAUAAAAUUACCUUAGGGAUAACAGCGUAAUUCUUCUUAAAAGCUCAAAUUUAAAGAAGAGAUUGCGACCUCGAUGUUGGAUUAAGAUUUAUUUUUGGCGCAGGAGUUAAAAUAUUAGGUCUGUUCGACCUUUGAAAUCUUACAUGAUCUGAGUUUAAACCGGUUUAAGCCAGGU
rnacentral:rRNA from 1 species